rnacentral:misc_RNA from 1 species
UUACCGAAAACAUACUGGUGGCUAAACAGUCUAAACGAAGCGAGACCCACGUCGCACGCCCGAGCGUUCUCGGUGUACGCGUUCGAGGUUCUAACCCCGUGAAAGAAAUUUGCGUUAUGCGAAGUCGGGCGAGGGGCGCCUCGCCGAGCGUGCGCGUUUUUUUGCGCGCGCGCUCCAAUCAAAGCGUACCCACUUUCAACCCCACUAAACUCUGAAUCUGAACUAAAAAGGGGGUGGUAAGUCGCCUUCACCGGCGCGCGCCCCCUCAACCUUUAACGUUGUAAAACUUUCAGCGACGGAUGUCUUGGCUCCCACAACGAUGAAGAACGCAGCGAAAUGCGAUACGUCUUGCGACUUGCAGAAUCCAGUGAAUCAUCAAAACUUUGAACGCAUCUUGCGCUUCCGGGAUAUUCCUGGGAGCAUGCUUGUUGGAGUGUCUGUUGACACCACUCGCCGCCCCCCCCCGUUGCUCGCGCGACGGGAGGUUGCGCGCGGACUCUGCGUGUUCCGGACGAACGUCCGAGUGCACCGAACUUCGUGAACGAAACUUCUACUGCCUUGCCGCACAGAGUUGUUGACGGCGUCCGCUUCGGCGGCGACUCUCGACUCGUUUAUUGCUCCAGGUCUAUCGGUAGGGGUGGUUCCGGUUGCUGCGCCCCCGCCACUUGUUAAAGUGGCGCGGAGGUCCCCCAACUACUUUCGUUCGGACCUCCAAUCAAGCAAGAGGACCCGCUGAAUUUAAGCAUAUAACUAAGCGGAGGAAAAGAAACUAACCAG